UCCACGCCCUAAACGAUGAUUACUCGCUGUUGGCAAUAUAUCGUCAGCGGCUAAGCGAAAGCAUUAAGUAAUCCACCUGGGGAGUACGAUCGCAAGGUUGAAACUCAAAGGAAUUGACGGGGGCCCGCACAAGCGGAGGAACAUGUGGUUUAAUUCGAUGAUACGCGAGGAACCUUACCUGGGCUUAAAUGUAGGACGAUCGUUGCCGAAAGGUGGCUUUCCUUCGGGACGGA
rnacentral:rRNA from 1 species